rnacentral:rRNA from 1 species
CCUACGGGGGGCAGCAGUGAGGAAUUUUGCGCAAUGGGGGCAACCCUGACGCAGCAACGCCGCGUGAGUGAAGAAGGCCUUUGGGUCGUAAAGCUCUGUCAACAAGGAAGAAAUUACAAUUAUUUAAUAGAUAAUUGUAUUGACGGUACUUGUGGAGGAAGCGCCGGCUAACUCCGUGCCAGCAGCCGCGGUAACACGGGGGGCGCAAGCGUUAUUCGGAAUUAUUGGGCGUAAAGGGCGCGCAGGCGGUCUUGUCCGUCAGGUGUGAAAGCUCGGGGCUCAACCCCGGAAGUGCACUUGAAACAGCAAGACUUGAAUACGGGAGAGGAGAGAGGAAUUCCUGGUGUAGAGGUGAAAUUCGUAGAUAUCAGGAGGAACACCGAUGGCGAAGGCAUCUCUCUGGACCGAUAUUGACGCUGAGGCGCGAAGGCGUGGGUAGCGAACGGGAUUAGAUACCCCCGUAGUC